rnacentral:rRNA from 1 species
GAUGAACGCUGGCGGCGUGCCUAAUACAUGCAAGUCGAGCGAACAGACGAGGAGCUUGCUCCUCUGACGUUAGCGGCGGACGGGUGAGUAACACGUGGAUAACCUACCUAUAAGACUGGGAUAACUUCGGGAAACCGGAGCUAAUACCGGAUAAUAUAUUGAACCGCAUGGUUCAAUAGUGAAAGACGGUUUUGCUGUCACUUAUAGAUGGAUCCGCGCCGCAUUAGCUAGUUGGUAAGGUAACGGCUUACCAAGGCAACGAUGCGUAGCCGACCUGAGAGGGUGAUCGGCCACACGGGAACUGAGACACGGUACCGACUCCUACGGGAGGCAGCAGUAGGGAAUCUUCCGCAAUGGGCGAAAGCCUGACGGAGCAACGCCGCGUGAGUGAUGAAGGUCUUCGGAUCGUAAAACUCUGUUAUUAGGGAAGAACAAAUGUGUAAGUAACUAUGCACGUCUUGACGGUACCUAAUCAGAAAGCCACGGCUAACUACGUG